GACGAACGCUGGCGGCGUGCCUAAUACAUGCAAGUCGAACGCUUCUUUCCUCCCGAGUGCUUGCACUCAAUUGGAAAGAGGAGUGGCGGACGGGUGAGUAACACGUGGGUAACCUACCCAUCAGAGGGGGAUAACACUUGGAAACAGGUGCUAAUACCGCAUAACAGUUUAUGCCGCAUGGCAUAAGAGUGAAAGGCGCUUUCGGGUGUCGUUGAUGGAUGGACCCGCGGUGCAUUAGCUAGUUGGUGAGGUAACGGCUCACCAAGGCCACGAUGCAUAGCCGACCUGAGAGGGUGAUCGGCCACACUGGGACUGAGACACGGCCCAGACUCCUACGGGAGGCAGCAGUAGGGAAUCUUCGGCAAUGGACGAAAGUCUGACCGAGCAACGCCGCGUGAGUGAAGAAGGUUUUCGGAUCGUAAAACUCUGUCGUUAGAGAAGAACAAGGACGUUAGUAACUGAACGUCCCCUGACGGUAUCUAACCAGAAAGCCAUGGCUAACUACGUG
rnacentral:rRNA from 1 species